UACGGAGGGUGCAAGCAUUAAUCGGAAUUAUUGGGCGUAAAGGGCGCGUAGGCGGAUUUGUAAGUCAGAUGUGAAAUUCCAAGACUCAAUUUUGGAGCUGCAUUUGAAACUGUAAGCCUAAGAGGGUAGACGGAGAAAACGGAAUUCCACAUGUAGCGGUGAAAUGCGUGGAUAUGUGGAAGAACACCGGUGGCGAAAGCGGUUUUCUAGUUUAUGCCUGACGCUGAUGCGCGAGAGCAAGGGGAGCAAACAGG
rnacentral:rRNA from 1 species